CGCCUUAGCUCAGUCGGCAGAGCGUUUCACUCGUAAUGAAAAGGUCGCGAGUUCGAUUCUCGCAGGCGGCUCAACCA
rnacentral:tRNA from 1 species